CAGUAGCCGCGGGAAUACGGAGGGUGCAAGCGUUACUCGGAAUCACUGGGCGUAAAGGACGCGUAGGCGGAUUAUCAAGUCUCUUGUGAAAUCCAACGGCUUAACCGCUAAACUGCUUGGGAAACUGAUAAUCUAGAGUAAGGGAGAGGCAGAUGGAAUUCUUGGUGUAGGGGUAAAAUCCGUAGAUAUCAAGAAGAAUACCUAUUGCGAAGGCGAUCUGCUGGAACUUAACUGACGCUAAUGCGUGAAAGCGUGGGGAGCAAACAGGAUUAGAUACCCCCGUAGUCCCUGUCUCUUAUAC
rnacentral:rRNA from 1 species